GCAAACUUGGUCAUUUAGAGGAAGUAAACGUCGUAACAAGGUUUCCGUAGGUGAACCUGCGGAAGGAUCGUUAAAAAAUAACACUGCUAUAUCUACCUUGUGUGCAAACAAUGGAAAGAGAAAAUGGAAUUCAGAACACUUUUUCUUUGGGGAAAGUGUUACCUAAUUCUCUAUAAUUUUUAUAAAUACCAUCAAAAAUUAAUUAAAAAAUGAAAUAUUUUUAAUUAAAAAUAUUAUACAACUUUCAACAACGGAUCUCUUGGCUCUCGCAUCGAUGAAGAACGCAGC
rnacentral:misc_RNA from 1 species